GAAGUCAAAACAUAAAGCAGCGAAUAUCCCCUGAUCAAAAAAUAGAUUUGACAGAGAAGAAAGAAUCUGAGACAUUAAAGAUCAACUUACUAUGGAGAGUUUGAUCCUGGCUCAGGAUGAACGCUAGCGGCAGGCUUAAUACAUGCAAGUCGUACGGGAUCCGAGGUAGCAAUACUUUGGUGAGAGUGGCGCACGGGUGCGUAACACGUAUGCAACCUACCUAUAACCGGGACACAACCCACCGAAAGGUGAGCUAAUAUCCCAUAACACUGCGAGAUGGCAUCAUAUUGCAGUUAAAACUCUGGUGGUUAUAGAUGGGCAUGCGCGACAUUAGCUAGUUGGUGAGGUAACGGCUCACCAAGGCGACGAUGUCUAGGGGUUCUGAGAGGAUUAUCCCCCACACUGGUACUGAGACACGGACCAGACUCCUACGGGAGGCU
rnacentral:rRNA from 1 species